GACGAACGCUGGCGGCGUGCUUAACACAUGCAAGUCGAACGGAAAGGCCCUGCUUUUGUGGGGUGCUCGAGUGGCGAACGGGUGAGUAACACGUGAGUAACCUACCCUUGACUUUGGGAUAACUUCAGGAAACUGGGGCUAAUACCGGAUAGGAGCCCCUGCUGCAUGGUGGGGGUUGGAAAGUUUCGGCGGUUGGGGAUGGACUCGCGGCUUAUCAGCUUGUUGGUGGGGUAGUGGCUUACCAAGGCUUUGACGGGUAGCCGGCCUGAGAGGGUGACCGGCCACAUUGGGACUGAGAUACGGCCCAGACUCCUACGGGAGGCAGCAGUGGGGAAUAUUGCACAAUGGGCGGAAGCCUGAUGCAGCAACGCCGCGUGCGGGAUGACGGCCUUCGGGUUGUAAACCGCUUUCGCCUGUGAUGAAGCGUGAGUGACGGUAAUGGGUAAAGAAGCACCGGCUAACUACGUG
rnacentral:rRNA from 1 species